rnacentral:rRNA from 1 species
UACGUAGGGGGCAAGCGUUGUCCGGAUUUAUUGGGCGUAAAGCGCACGUAGGCGGUUCGUUAAGUCGGAUGUGAAAGCCCUCGGCUCAACUGAGGAAGUGCACCCGAAACUGGCGAGCUUGAGUACGAAAGAGGAUCGCGGAAUUCCCGGUGUAGAGGUGAAAUUCGUAGAUAUCGGGAGGAACACCGGUGGCGAAGGCGGCGAUCUGGGUCGAUACUGACGCUGAGGUGCGAAAGCGUGGGGAGCAAACAGG